rnacentral:rRNA from 1 species
ACGAACGCUGGCGGCGUGCUUAACCCAUGCAAGUCGAACGGAAAGGCCCUGCUUUUGUGGGGUGCUCGAGUGGCGAACGGGUGAGUAACACGUGAGUAACCUGCCCUUGACUUUGGGAUAACUUCAGGAAACUGGGGCUAAUACCGGAUAGGAGCUCCUGCUGCAUGGUGGGGGUUGGAAAGUUUCGGCGGUUGGGGAUGGACUCGCGGCUUAUCAGCUUGUUGGUGGGGUAGUGGCUUACCAAGGCUUUGACGGGUAGCCGGCCUGAGAGGGUGACCGGCCACAUUGGGACUGAGAUACGGCCCAGACUCCUACGGGAGGCAGCAGUGGGGAAUAUUGCACAAUGGGCGGAAGCCUGAUGCAGCAACGCCGCGUGCGGGAUGACGGCCUUCGGGUGGUAAACCGCUUUCGCCUGUGACGAAGCGUGAGUGACGGUAAUGGGUAAAGAAGCACCGGCUAACUACGU